rnacentral:tRNA from 1 species
GGGGGGGUGGCUCAGUGGUUGGAGCCUAGGGCUCGUAACCGAAAGGUUCCGAGUUCGAACCUCGCAAGGGUUCU